GGAUCAAGUGGUUGGUUGGUUGAAUUCAAAUUUGAUUUGAAUUCAAAUUGAAAUUCAAAUUGGAGAUUGGAUAAAAAUUUGUUCUCAUCCAAACCAACCUUGUCGCCUUCUUCUUAAACCCCUCCUCUCUUGGGCAUGCACAAGUUUUUUGAUCCAUCCUUGGCCGACCAAAAAGAGAGAAGAAUUGGAGAGAGGAAUGUGUGACUUGUAGCUU
rnacentral:lncRNA from 1 species